rnacentral:misc_RNA from 1 species
GCAGUUUUGGUCACAGUUCCUAUAUCAGUGCCAGUUUUGAUCAUUAGAGCAUGAACUUGUCUGCCACGUUCUGGGCCAGGCAAAGCAGAGCAAGCGCUGAGAAUUGGUGUGACAGUAUAAGCAUCAAACUUAGGACAAGAACAAUGCAUGUGGCAAAAGAGAUCCCAUGUGGCAAGGAAGUUGCCAUUGCGAGAGAAAGAAGCGAGUUGGCAGUUAAGGGAGUAGAGCUCUCUGUGAGGAAAUGCAUCGAACAAGUGGUUGAUGUGAGCAUAACUUCUAUCAGUGAGGGCUUUUAAAUGACCAUUAAUAUGUAUUAUAGCGGGGAAGUUUAGGUGAAGAAUGAAGCGAUGUGAAGCAAACAUCAAUGGCUUUUGGGAGUCAUGAAUACUACAUGUUCCUUGCUAUUACGGCACAUAGAUGAAUUGUGAAAGCAAAUCCACCUACAAUUAUUCUUUACAGACGAUGACGCGGCUAUUGGAUUCAACAAGCGACGCCGUCACUUGCUGGGGGUUCUCUAUACUCCGGAGACUGCGAUGGGGUGGUGACGCUCUGAAACUGCAGCCGUUUCAACGAUUGGAGGUUAAAAUCUUCAGGGAACAAGCUUUCAAAUCUUCACCAUUUGUAGAUUUUGCGGCAGAAACAACUUCUAGCGAUUUCAGAGAAAGGCUUUCGAGUUCCGCCGGUGCCAAAAAUGACCGGAAACGGCGAAGGAAGUUUUGCUUCCCACUCUUCCUCUUUUUCUCUAUACUCUUAGCUCACCGCCGAC